GCCCCGAGGAGUCCUCCUGCCAAUCGCUGCCCUCCCCAGAGGGACGAAUCGGCGGCGUCCUUCCUCGAAAAAAAAAAAAAAAAAAAAGCCAGUUGGCGCCUGCGCAGUAGCGAAGGUUGUCUUCGUUCCGCCGCGGAGGGUAGCCUAACAGAAUCCAGUUUGCAGUUUGGGUGGCCGUCUGGAUCAUCAAAUGGUGGGAACAGGUGAGCGGGUGACGACGGAACCUUACGGAGUUUCAGCUUGAGUUCAUCUAGCCAUUGGACUGGCCACUGGGCGGAUGGAGGCGACACCUUCUUCAUUCUGGAUCCAUGGACCUACGCCUUUAGCCCCUCAACCUUUACUGCAGUGGGGGUGCUGAGCAGCACUUGUCAAGGCUCAGACCACUUCGAUUUAAUUGCCUUGGCACGGAAAGCUAUUUGGCAAAGAAAGAAAGAGAGAGUUAGAUUUAAAAGACAGAAUUAUAUGUCUAAAUACUUGUUUGAACAUAGUUAAAAGAAUUUAGGACUUUGAGAUAUAAUUAGUCUUUUAUAAUGAAUAUGAUUUAGAAUUAAAUAGCACUUUUUUUUCUUCUUUUGACAAAGGAAAUACAAACAUAAGAGGAUUAGUAUGAAUAAAAUUGAUAAGUUAUUCAAAUGUAAUUAACAUUGUGAAAAUCAUAACUAGCAAAGACUUUAAAUAUUAAUGGGAAACUAAAUGUUAACAAGAGUAUGAAAAACAGGAGAGUGAUUUAUGAACUGAUGUUAUUUGUAUAAAAGUAAAAUAUGAUGAAAAUGUUUAUAUCUAAUUUUGUAUACAUUAAUAGUAGUAAGAAUGGUAAUUGUUUAAUUAUGAGGGAAAAAUGAAAAAAUAUGGGGAAGGAAGGAGGAUCCAGAGAAAAAUACUGGACUGUGUAGUAAUGACCAGAUUUAUAUUGAAGAAGGCAAUGUCAAAUAUGUGAACCCAAACAUGUUGUUUACUAAGCGUUAAAGAUUGUAAUUCUAAAAAAAAAUAAUAAAACCUUAUUUUAAAAAAA